rnacentral:lncRNA from 1 species
ACUCCCAGGCAAAUCAUCUAUACCUUGUAUGUCUAUAAAGGAACAAGCCUUUCCUUGUUCAUUUUUAUAUCCUUGGUAUCUAUCUCAGAACCUGGCUUAAAUACAGGCUUAGUUAACAUUCACUGAGUGACUAAAUACUCCAUUUUUUAAUUUGGAAAAUUAGUAUUUAUAAGAACCCAUCAUGAAACUAGCCAUGAAGUUAAUUAAAACUGUGUUCUCUCAUUUUCAACUAUUUUUUUUUCCUAAAUCUAUGCGAGGUUCAGUGCUGAGAAAUAAGAGGAUAUCAGGUAUUUAUUGAACUGAAUGGUGAAAGUUCUUUUACAAUGCAUAUCCAAAGUUGGGAAAGAUAAAAUCUAGAAAGGUAACUAUUGAUAAACUGCUCUUGCAGGUUUAAAAAGCCCCCAUAAUUAUAAGAAACUUCUCCAGAAUUUCACUUAUUCUUUGGUUCCAUCCUCCUGUUUUCUCCAUUGUGCCUGACAAGGCUAUCACAACCUAUUCUUUCUCUCAUGCAAUGUCCAGUGAGUAUUUCUGAGCAGAUUGGUUUUAGUGAUGAAAACAUACAUCUAUUCAGGAAAUCAGCCCCCUUCUGCCUCGCCUAAGCCAUCCAUUGAGCUUCAAGGUCAAAACAUAGCUCUAAUGCUCAGGACAUCAAAUCUGGUACUACUGUGGCAGGAGAACCAAAGGGGAGAGGGGCAACUGUUCAACAUAAGGAUCAUCCUAUGAGUGGUGGAGCUAUAUGUCAUGUGGCAAUCCAGGCUUAAAGCAAAGCUGAAGUCCAUUCCAGAUAAUCAGCAUAUAAUCACAAUACAGUUCAGAUGCCUCCGUGGGAAUAGGAUUAAUAAGUAAUUGGCAGAAACAGGUACAAAGUUCAAACUGUACUUUAUUAAACAGGAACUGUGCCCACGUUGGCCUGGAACUCUUGGCUCAAGAGGUCCUUCUGCCUCACCCUCUCAAGUAGCUAGGAAUAGAGGUGCACACCACCAGGUCACUGACCCUGUACAAGGUGUCACCAUCGACCUUGAGGUGGCAGGUGUUCACGAUGCCAGCAAAGGGAACACAUAGCCAUCUCUUGCAGUCAAUUUCGCAGAUGAAAUGAACUUGAUACAGUCCUUGCGGCUUCCAUAUUCACCUUAUUUGUCAUUGUACAGAGAGCGAGAGACAGCAUCUUCCACUCCACCAUAUGGAUUUGUUGUCAAAGCCCAUGAAGGCUACAUUCCAAAGAGAUUUUCUAAGACCACAUAGGGCUUGGUACUCCCAGAAGUAUUCAUUUACUAUCAUAACAAAAGAAUAAAUGAAAGGAGGAGUGCCUUCACAGAAACACUAUUUUCUGUAAAAAUCAUUGCUACUGGUAUAGAAAUGUUAAUGGCUGAGGAUAUAGAGAAUACUUUGGUUGAAGUUCCAGCCUGCCAUUCUUGCUUUCUGAAUUAUGAGAGAAAAUUGUGUUUGAAAAAAUCUGUUCCUGCAUUUUUUUCUAGGCUCUUCUUUAUAAAGCAAUUGAUGUAGUAAAAAACCAAUUUUUCUCACUUCCUCUUACUUCCCAAGAGAGCGUGGGCAUCUGUCACUUUUCAAUGGGCGAUUCAGUCUUAAUUAUUCUUCAAACUAUAUCGUGGGCUCUCAAAUGACAAAUGUAGGUUAUAUUUAGAUACUUCUCACAUGCAGUCUGUACAAGCCCCUCCGCACUUGUCUCUCUAUUGCAUGCAUCUGCAGUCUCCUCUACUCAGUUGUUCUUAAAAGUUCUCACAGCAGCAUAAAAUAAUUUUAAUAACACCCAGUGCAUGACCAUUUUUAAUUUGUACAUCCUUUGGUGACCUUAUUCAUAAAAUAUUUUUAAGUUUCAUUGAGCAGCCAGAGGAAAAUAGUCCUAUGAACAAAUUGUGUAAGUUUAUCACCAUGCU